rnacentral:ncRNA from 1 species
UUAGCUAGGGGUGCCCUCAAUUUUUUUGAGUGCUGAGAGGAAUUUUUUCCAACCCUUUGAACUUGAAGUGGUUAGUACCAACGUAGGGAAGCAUUUUUU